GGAGAGGUGGCUCAGAGGUUAAGAGCACUGACUGCUCUCCCAGAGGUCCUGAGUUCAAUUCCCAGCACCUACA
rfam:Mesocricetus auratus contig072323, whole genome shotgun sequence.